UUAUUGGUGGCAGGUGGGUAUGGCUCCUGCUGCUUUUGUCUCCUCCUCCCUUGCUUUGUUGGAUGCAGUCUCGUUUUAGGUACUGAAGACUGUGUGUUCCCCAGAAAGCAUGCAACACCUGCAGCCAGCAGACAUCAGCAGCUCAGUGUGAGAAGGCACAUCUUUGGCUGGAAGAAGCAAUACUCUGGGCUUGGCCUCAGCCCAUGGGGAGGCCCUGAUGCUGAGGAGCACCAUGAGAGAUGAGCAGGAAGGGGUUUAAGAGGAGCAGCUCUGAUCUGACAAACACUUCCUGGGAGCUCUCAGCUGGUGCUGAGCAGGAGAAAAGGUUCUCUCCGUUCUUCCAGAGAGGGGAACUGGAGUGCCAUCCCCUAGCCCUGUGGGAAGAGGGCAUGGUGGAGAUAUUGUCACUCAGGGAUAUGUCCUCCAGGAUGGCUUUUGGUGACAUUGGCAGGAAGAGUUCCUGGAUAUUGCCUCUGACCAAAGGUUUGGUGCUUUGUCCAUCUGUUUCUUGCCUGCAAACACAAGGCAUAAGAGACAUAUGGUAGAAUAGUCCACGCUGACUGUUAGUCUAGUCCAGCAUUAUUUUCAUUUGAAACAGAUAAAUACGUACCAAGGCCCUGCACCCUGCAGGAAAAGGUACCCUGCCAGUAUUUAUACUGUCUACAGCAACUUCCAAAAGAAGCUCUUAGCAUGCAGCACAGCAUGCCUAGAAGUGUCAGGCACAUAGAUCAGGUAUAUGUGGGACUGCCCAACCUCCAGGCUACCCAUUAAUUUUUAUGUGUGUUUUGCCUGGAAGUCCCCAUCCACAAAGGGAAAGAAAUAAGACAUGUCUGGGUUCUGGUGCACUAAACCUACAGAGACCUCCAUAGCAAAUCUGCACUUGGUGCCCACCCAGCUCAGGUACUGCUGCUGGCUUGCAUCCCCAGUAAAUAGCCUUGCCCACAGGCCUUGCAGACACCCACAGUGAUGUGCAAGUUAAUGUGGUUUCACGUUGCUUCUGGGAGCAGUUGGUUUGGGAGCAGAAGAAUAUUUUAAUGACGGUCUACAAAUUGAAUUUUAAUUGUGAACAAAUGGUGAGCUUUGUCUCUGCAUCAGUAGUCUCACAAACAGGCUCCUGACCCUAUAAAUAAAUGCUAGUUGAACCUCUGCAUUUUAAACCAGUCAACCCCCAGAGAAAACUCUGCCUUUCAUACUCCCUCCCCAUAAAUAUGCCCAAAUUAUCUCCAUCAUGCCAUGCCAACCAGGGCCACCAACAGCCCCUCACCAUGAAUAGGGCUUCUGCUCCCUUUUCUAUGUGGCACCAUGAAUAUCCAGCACCUGUGCUCACUCCAAGCCAUCAAGAAACCGUCCUGGGACAUGGGAAGGCUGAGAUGGGAAAUGGGAAGUGUAUCUCCCUGGUGUAUCUGGAUGGAUCUCGUACUUCUCAGAUGGACUGGCUGUCCUCGGAUCAGAGCACGUACUGUUUAAGCUCUCAUCAAGUGACAGAAGCAAUAAGAGCAAUUAAACAAAGAGGACUAAUGGGAAUUUUAAUCUUCUCUCUGCUAAAUGAUGAUGGAUGUCAGCAAAGGAUACAUGGAAGAGAAUAUUUGAAUAAGCUCCCCGUGUUCUGUCUACUGUAACCAAUGUGUUUGGGUUUGCGGAAAGUUUCUCUGCUAUAAAUAAACCACAGUAUUUUGGGGGCCCACCAGUGACACCAAACGUGUUUCCUGCUUUUUAGUGGUUGCAGUGAGAUGGUUUCAUCCUCUCAUCUGUUCACAUUGUACUGAUUUUCUUACCUGUAGUAUCCAUUUCCAAUGUUUACGAAAGUGGGAAAGCAGUGUUAGGAAGCAGGUUCUUUAUCUGUCUAGAGCAAUAUCGAGAUGGGGGUUUCAAUACUUUGGCUCAGAUGGGCUCUUCAGGUGUAAAUUUUUAUAUUGGACGUUUGACUUCCUAUGUAGAAAGUCAUUUGCCUCCUCCUUGCCAAAGUCCAUUCUCUUUCCAUGGACUCAUUAGAGCUUACAAAACAUCUUUUCGUUUAGAACAAGCAGUUUGUAGAAUGCGAAGUGAUGUCGUCCCACCUCCGGAUCAAAGGCUUGAAGAGAGAUUUUGGUGACAUCCCAGUUCCUGUCACCUCAUGCUGACCUUCUGAAAAACAAAUGCAGAACUGCCUAUUUCCUCCAAGAAAAAUCCCAGCUGGUGAUUUUCUGAUGUCUCCAUAACAACUUUGAAGAUACUGUUUAGGCUGAAAGACUAAGCUAAGCAAAGCACUGGAAUAAAGCCAGCAUUCAGGUACAAAAUUGAUGGCAAAGCUGAAUUGUUACAGAGGAAAUCUAUAGAGGAACUCACAAGCAAUUAAAAUAAAUUCAGAAUUUAAAAUGUAGAAAGCUCAUUUCCACAUUGGCCUGAAAAUAUUUGCUUAAAAGUGAGUAAAAGCAACACAGUCCCACAGCCAGACAGAACAGCUUAAGUUCAAAGAAAAGGAAAAAAAAAACAAAAAAAGAAGAAAAAGAAAGGACUCUAACAGAAGAAGAUGACGUAAAGUGAUUGACAACAUGUUGGACAGAAUUGCAGUAACAACAGAAAGCUCAUUACACGAAGAAUUACCAUACUUAAAGUCAAUCAGAUUGAAGAAUCCCACGUUGCUAAGGUUGGGCUUGGAGACAGGGCAGUUUAAAUGGAUUUGUGUAUCACCUUGAUGCCUGCACAGCAGACCUUGCCAAGGAGAGGUAAUGCAUUGCACCAAGAAAAGUGUUACUUAGCCAUGGUGCUGUUGGAUCCAAACUAACUGCAGUUCAGUUCUGUUUCCCCUGAUCUUACUUCCCUUCAAUGAUUCAUCAGAAGCUUCUAGAUAGCUACAAAAUAUGAAACUUUAAACGAUUUUUGCUUUCAGUAGUGCCAUUAGCAUAGAAAAUUUAAAGGCAAGGUUAGUCAUCCACACAGACAUGGUCAACAGCCUGCCUGCUCCAUGGCACUUUUCCAGAAGGUCUCAGAAAAAUCCAGAUCAGGUCAUCAUGCACUGCCUUUCCUGCAGUGCCUCCAUGAAGGUGGCUUGAUGUCCCAUGGCACAAAGGGUGCUGUGGUAACCGUGGUAUCAUCCCUCCUGCAUGGCACUGGAGUCUCCUCUUCCUUACUCUCUCUGUGAUAUAUUAUGACAAUUUUGUACUGAAUAGAAAGUGUGCUGCGUUUAAUAACCAUUGAGCAGCUCAUGAAAACUUAAAGUAGUGAGCUGGCAAUGGGGUAGAUGUGGCUGGAUUUAAUAUCUUGGCCCAAGCAAUCUGACUUGUAAUUAUCUGUCUAAAAUACCCAUGUGCCUGGUCUUUCCAGGGCUGCAAAUGAGCCUUCUGAAAAAGAAAAAAGAAAAAGUAAAUAGUAAUAUUUGCAUAGAAAGGUGUAUUUAAAGAGCUCCUUAACUUAGUUUUCCAUGAGUAGUAGUGAGAGCACUGCAUGUUGUAGGCCCAUGUGCAUGCUCAUCUCCUUCCAGACCAUCUCCUUGCAAUCCCAUGGUAAUUCCCUCAAGCAAGAGGAGCUGGGCUCUGUUCCAGCUGCCCUCAGGGCAGGCCUUUCCCAGCACAAAGUUGUGGCAUGGCAAGGACAUGACAUGGAAGAGCCUCAGUGAGACACAGACCUUCAGAAGAACAGGCUCUGUUGAGCCUGCUGACUACGUGACUGCUUGCAUCAGUUAGGCAAUGUGCCUUGAAGUUUGGAAAGGUAGAGAGACAUACAUCAGCUUAAAAUGUCUCUUACCUGGAAACAUAUGACAUAUUACUAACAUGAUAUAAGAGGGAAAAAUGCUGGAGGCUGAAAUGGAGGGGAAUUUGAACGGAGAGAAGUGCCAUUUUCCUCCUCUCCUCCUUGACCUUGAGUACAUCAGUUGCUCCUCAUCUCUGUUGGAGGAAUUACUAACCAGUGUUACUAUUAGUACUGGACUGUGGAUGAAGAGAAGGUGUUCGAAAAGCCCUGUUCAGAUUCUGGUGACUGGAAAGAAAUAAUGUGCUUUUUUAGCUGUUUUUCUAUUGCUCACGAAAAACUGUCCAAAGUCAUACCUAAAAUCUCAAAGGACAGAGCCACAAAAUUGGUUCUUUUUUGACAGAAAUGGGCUGAUUUUUGAAGUCUUAGUGAGAUUAAAUGUCUUAAGAGCAGUAUGUUUAAGAGCUUUUAAACUCCCUUUAUCUUUUGGCAUAAAUAAUAAUCACCAUUAUGGUUGGUCCUACUUCAUUGUGUUUGGAAAGCACAAAAAAAAAAUUAAUAGAGACAUGACUAAUCAUUUGCUAAUCACUUAUCUCUCCACAAAUUCCUAGUGGCACAGCAAGAGUUAUAUCCCACUG